rnacentral:rRNA from 1 species
AUUGAACGCUGGCGGCAGGCUUAACACAUGCAAGUCGAGCGGGGUGAUGGUGCUUGCACUAUCACUUAGCGGCGGACGGGUGAGUAAUGCUUAGGAAUCUGCCUAUUAGUGGGGGACAACAUCUCGAAAGGGAUGCUAAUACCGCAUACGUCCUACGGGAGAAAGCAGGGGAUCACUUGUGACCUUGCGCUAAUAGAUGAGCCUAAGUCGGAUUAGCUAGUUGGUGGGGUAAAGGCCUACCAAGGCGACGAUCUGUAGCGGGUCUGAGAGGAUGAGCCGCCACACUGGGACUGAGACACGGCCCAGAGUCCUACGGGAGGCAGCAGUGGGGAAUAUUGGACAAUGGGCGCAAGCCUGAUCUAGCCAUGCCGCGUGUGUGAAGAAGGCCUUAUGGUUGUAAAGCACUUUAAGCGAGGAGAAGGCUACUUUAGUUAAUACCUAGAGAUAGUGGACGUUACUCGCAGAAUAAGCACCGGCUAACUCUGUGCCAGCCGCCGCCGUAA